UUCAGAGAGCGGGGCCCAAGAGGGGAGAAAACGCAACCAACUUCAUCACGCUGCAUGAGAUUCUGGAGCACCUCAUGACCAAGACGAUGAAGAGCCCCCACGACCCUUACUUGGAGCUGGACGACUCCUUCUGGCCGCCCUUCGUCGAGGCGCUGCUGCGUUACGGGGUGGUCCAGCGCCAUCCCGACGACCCACUCCGCAUCCGCCUGGAGGAGUUCGACCAGUAGACAGGCGGGAGGAGGAGAAGGAGGAGGAGGGGGAGGGGGAAUGUGUCCGGCCGUGUGCUCACCCACCUUCCCUCACCCCCACCCGCCAGCCCCUCGGUACCCGAGCCUGAAGGGCGAGUGUGGGCUGGGCAUCGAGCCAGUCAGCCCACCUUCCCCGGCCACGCACUGGGGGCGCCCCCCCCCCCUCCCUCCCGGGUGGCCAGAGACCGAGGGUCCGUCUCAGCCCCUGGAGGGGUCUGUCGCUCCCGACAGGGUGGGAGUUGUUUGAACGACACGACGGGAGAGAGGCAACCCUUUGCCCCGCGCCCUGCAUGAAGCACUGGGCCGUUUCACCACGGACUACUACCCGCUGCUCCUUCCCCCACCCCACCUCGAACACCCUCCCCCCCCAACCCCCCCCUCCUCCUUUCACCCCCGGAACGAAGGUCCCAUCGCCGAGAGGGCUUUUGGGAAGGAGGGGUGAACACGGCGGUCCUGACGCUCACGCCGGCGCGGUGAGUCGACCAGAGAUGGCGACCGAGGUGGCCUUCGCUCUCUGACCUGCGUGUGACCCGUGUACCCCCCUCAACCCCGCCCCCCCCUCCCCCCAGCUUGCCUAGAGGCGGGUGUGGGACCUCCCAAGUGCAGACGGUGACCCUGCUUCCUGAACAUCACCACCCCCCCCACCUCCCGCAAUGUGCCGGGGGCCUUCCCCACACACCACAGCUUUCGACAGAAGCUCCUCGCGCCUGCAGAUUUCCCCCAGCAGCCUCUGCGGCUCGUCCCUCCGGUCGCCACUGCCCGAUGUACUGUUCAUUAAAACGCUUGUCACGUGUCUUCACCAGC